rnacentral:rRNA from 1 species
AGUGUAUGUGGUGGAUGCCUUGGCGAUUACAGGCGAUGAAGGACGUCGCAGCCUGCGAAAAGCCGUGGGGAGCUGGCAAGCGAGCACUGAUCCACGGAUGUCCGAAUGAGGGAACUCACCCGCAAGGGUAUCUUGAAGUGAAUACAUAGCUUCAAGAGGCGAACGCAGCGAACUGAAACAUCUAAGUAGCUGCAGGAAAAGAAAUCAACCGAGAUUCUGAAAGUAGCGGCGAGCGAAAUUGGAAGAGCCUGCAAGUGAUAUUGAAUUCGAUACUGGAACGGUCUGGAAAGUCCGGCUACAGAGGGUGACAGCCCCGUACGGGAAAUUGGGUUCAAAGUACUGAGCUUGCGAGAAGUAGAGCGGGACACGUGAAAUCCUGCUCGAAGAUGGGGGGACCAUCCUCCAAGGCUAAAUACUCGUAAUCGACCGAUAGCGAACCAGUACUGUGAAGGAAAGGCGAAAAGAACCCCGGGAGGGGAGUGAAAUAGAUCCUGAAACCGCAUACAUACAAACAGUAGGAGCCCGCAAGGGUGACUGCGUACCUUUUGCAUAAUGGGUCAGCGACUUACGUUCAAUGGCAAGCUUAACCGAGUAGGGGAGGCGCAGCGAAAGCGAGUCCGAACAGGGCGAUAUGAGUCGUUGGGCGUAGACCCGAAACCAGAUGAUCUAUCCAUGGCCAGGCUGAAGGUGUGGUAACACACACUGGAGGGCCGAACCGACUAGUGUUGCAAAAUUAGCGGAUGAGCUGUGGAUAGGGGUGAAAGGCUAAACAAAUCUGGAGAUAGCUGGUUCUCCCCGAAAACUAUUGAGGUAGUGCCUCGUGUAUGGCUCCAGGGGGUAGAGCACUGUUAUGGCUAGGGGGACAUGGCGUCUUACCAAACCAUGGCAAACUCCGAAUACUUGGAAGUCUGAGCACGGGAGACAGACAUCGGGUGCUAACGUCCGGACUCAAGAGGGAAACAACCCAGACCGCCGGCUAAGGUCCCUAAUAUUGACUAAGUGGAAAACGAAGUGGGAAGGCUAAGACAGUCAGGAAGUUGGCUUAGAAGCAGCCAUCCUUCAAAGAAAGCGUAAUAGCUCACUGAUCGAGUCUUCCUGCGCGGAAGAUGUAACGGGGCUAAGUCAAUAACCGAAGCCGCGGAUUCGCAGCAAUGCGAGUGGUAGGGGAGCGUUCUGUAAGCCUGCGAAGGCGGAUCCGCGAGGACCGCUGGAGGUAUCAGAAGUGCGAAUGCUGACAUGAGUAACGUUAAAGCGGGUGAAAAGCCCGCUCGCCGCAAGCCCAAGGUUUCCUGCUCUACGUUCAUCGGAGCAGGGUGAGUCGGCCCCUAAGGUCAGGCUGAGAAGCGUAGCUGAUGGGAAGCUGGUUAAUAUUCCAGCACCGAUUUCAAGUGCGAAGGGGGGACGGAGUCCUGAAGGUCAUCCGGGUGUUGGACAUCCCGGUUUACGAGCGUAGGAGGUUGACAGGCAAAUCCGUCAACGAAUCUCCAAGGCGAAGGAUCGAGGUUGAGAGAUCAACUGAAGUGACUGAAUGGGCUUCCAGGAAAAGCCUCUAAGCAUCAGCUUGGAAUUGACCGUACCGCAAACCGACACUGGUGGGCGAGCUGAAUAUGCUCAGGCGCUUGAGAGAACUCAGGAGAAGGAACUCGGCAAAUUGACACCGUAACUUCGGGAUAAGGUGUGCCUUUGUAGUGUGAAGAGAACAACGGAGCAUGAAUGGGUCUCAGAGAAUCGGUGGCUGCAACUGUUUACUAAAAACACAGCACUCUGCAAAGAUGAAAGUCGACGUAUAGGGUGUGAUGCCUGCCCGGUGCUGGAAGAUUAAUUGAUGGGGUGCAAGCUCCUGAUCGAAGUCCCAGUAAACGGCGGCCGUAACUAUAACGGUCCUAAGGUAGCGAAAUUCCUUGUCGGGUAAGUUCCGACCUGCACGAAUGGCAUAACGAUGGCCACACUGUCUCCUCCUGAGACUCAGUGAAGUUGAAAUGUUUGUGAUGAUGCAAUCUACCCGCGGCUAGACGGAAAGACCCCAUGAACCUUUACUGCAGCUUU